ACACCAAGGGGUGCUGGCCAUAGCGGGCCGGCUGAGAUGGAGGCUUCUCCGAACCCUAGAACCUGAUCUGGGUAAUGCCAGCGUAGGAACCUUGAA
rnacentral:ncRNA from 1 species